rnacentral:tRNA from 1 species
UAUGUUUUGGUGUAAAGGCACGUGAAGUUUUGAUCUUCGUAGAAUUGGUGCGAUUCCAUUAAAUAUAA